UUCUCGAGGCGAGCUGCGCAGCUCGCAACGAUGCAAGCAAGGAAGGAAUGCGUGGAAUUAGAAUCGGAAUAGACUUUUGUUACCCCGUGAAUCACGACCCAUCAAUAAAUCUUACUCACUUUCUCUCACUCUCGGUCGUCUUACCAGUCCCUUCCCCCCCAAGUGCUGCCCUUGCUGUCUACAUUGCGCUGUUUAAUCGGUGAAACCAUGGUCAGGAAGCACUGUAGGCUUACUUAGUACGGGGAGUUGGUGGAUGCCGCAGUUCCCAGGCCGUUGCCUUGUGUGUCUCGGAAGAAACCAAGAUCGAGCACAUUUGUGUCAAGCUGUGGGUGUAGUGACGGCAAUUGCCAUGGAAUAGGGGAAAUGCAGAUGUGGAACGGGCCGUUUUGAUGGCGUUCAAAUUCAAGUGAUUUAUCUGGGUUGGAGGUCAGUUGGGUUUUACUGCUGUUGUAUGCAUCCGCACUACAGCCAGCGGAUUACGGUGACACAGUUGAACAUGUCGAUUCUGGGUCGUAUCUAGUGGACCAGACGGAGAGUGACGCAAUUGUAAUUGAACAUUCGAGUUGUGAUUAUGGAACUGGGUUAGUCAUCCCGUGCCUCCUGGAGCAUACUAAUUGGACUUCAUUGAGCGUGAUGUACUUGGCAUAUUCAACUGUGGUACGUUCCCUACGUUACCUAUACUAUUUGGUUUAGGUUGUACUGAACAAGUGUUAUUCCAAUGGGUAGUUUCAGAGGUUCUGCACAAGAAGGGAAGAUGUGGAAAGAAAAAAACAAUUCUUUAUCUUCACAGAAGUAGUAAUGUUUUACCAAAAUCUCGUAAUCCCUCUUGCAAUUUUCUGAUGAGGAUAAUGUACUUUGUGCAGAAUUUCAUACAACUCGCGCCUCGACGUGUACUUGGGUUGAGUGCAGUAAACGAGCACUUAAUUCAUCGAAUCUCCUGGCGGCUAGUAACACUACACGAGUCCAUUUUGGUUCACGGGGUAACAAUGGCUCUAACCCAGUAUUUAAAAUUCUCGACUGCCAACAGAGUUACAUGUACGUUUACUCGAACACUACCUGACUCACCGCCGUCUUCUGCUCUUCAUCACCUUCAUACAGAUUAAAAUGGUUCUGGAAUCAUGUGAAAGAAAUUCGUUAUGAUGUUGGUUACGGCGGCACUUUGUUGAUUCGUCUGAAAUGACCUCUUUGUGGUUUUGUGAUACUUUUACGUUUUAAAGAUCUUUUCGUAGGAGAAUGGGUUGUUCAGGAUUUCGAAUUUGAAACUAGCUAGAAUUCUCGAGUUUUGAUUCUACACACAAAGAUCUUAACCUUGAGAAAUUCUGUUGUGCUUGGCUCUUAAAGGUACACCAGAAUGUAUCAAAGAUUGCUGUUGAUUUUCAUGGAUUCUUUACCUUUUGUUAACAGGAAAAGGGCUGAAUUUCCAGCCUUGAAGCAAACCAGCAUGAUGAUGGAUAGCGGAGAUUGUUUGUCCAAAUCUCCCGACGCCAUCCACGCCAAUUUAGCCAAGACAACACAUGUUCAUGUCACAUACCCAGUUUUCGACCUUGGAGUUCGGCCUUGGUACAGGGUUGCUCCGCCAAUAAAACAACAAGAUUUUGAUAGAUUGUGGGAGCUCUAUGUCUAACUUUGUGAAAUCUGAGGGCACCACCAACUUGAAUGUGAGACAAGAAAUAUUAUGUGGGUUCCUGGAGGCUCUUGUCUCUGGAGAUCUUGUGGACAUCCUCUCUUUCAAUUCCAAUGGAGCCAAAUUCGUUAAUAAACAGGCAACAUGCACAAUAUCAUAGUUUCAUCUUAGUCAACGUAACAGAUCCUAAAGUUAACUGGAUACUUUGGGAUGAGAUGGUUUGUUCUUGUGAUUUGAGACUUAGCAUAUUGUACUUAUGAACAAGUGAAGUAUUGCUUCGAAAUAUUGCGUUCAGGUUACAUAAGCGUCUUUCUUCGUGGUCAAACAUCAUAAUCGCCGACAAUCCUGCAGACGUUGGGGGAUCGAAUUUAUAUGCAGCUAUUCAUGAUAUUAUACCAACAUUCCAACUUAACACAUUAUCGUUGAAGGUUAUCCUGGUACUCAGCGAUGUAGAUAUUGAACCUUUUCGUCUUGAGCCAAAUUUGU